rnacentral:rRNA from 1 species
AGAGAACGCUGGCGGUAGGCCUAACACAUGCAAGUCGAACGGCAGCACAGUAAGAGCUUGCUCUUACGGGUGGCGAGUGGCGGACGGGUGAGGAAUACAUCGGAAUCUACUUUUUCGUGGGGGAUAACGUAGGGAAACUUACGCUAAUACCGCAUACGACCUACGGGUGAAAGCAGGGGAUCUUCGGACCUUGCGCGAUUGAAUGAGCCGAUGUCGGAUUAGCUAGUUGGCGGGGUAAAGGCCCACCAAGGCGACGAUCCGUAGCUGGUCUGAGAGGAUGAUCAGCCACACUGGAACUGAGACACGGUCCAGACUCCUACGGGAGGCAGCAGUGGGGAAUAUUGGACAAAGGGCGCAAGCCUGAUCCAGCCAUACCGCGUGGGUGAAGAAGGCCUUCGGGUUGUAAAGCCCUUUUGUUGGGAAAGAAAAGCAGCAGGUUAAUACCCCGCUGUUCUGACGGUACCCAAAGAAUAAGCACCGGCUAACUUCGUG